GCAACCUGAUAACACAGGGCUGACUAUACUAAAUUUCUCUAUUCUCUUGCUGAUAUCAGGACUACUUCUGGUUUUGUCCUAUCAAAACUGAUGCUGCCACGAAUAUUCUUAGACAUUUUUCCUGCUGCAUAUGUGUGAGUUUAUUUAGGGGAUGUGUCUGUGGGUGGAACUGCUAAGUCACAGGAUGUGUACAUUUUCAGGCUUUCCAGGUAAUUGCUGAAUGGUCCUACAAAGUGGUUGUACCAGUUUACACUCCUACUUAAUAGUGUGAACUUCUGUUAUUCUACAUCUUUGCCAGAAAUGAUUGUUUGCCAAUCUAAUACAUUUUAAUUUCUCUUAUGAAUGAAUAUCAACAUUACUUUCAUGUUUAUUGGCCUCUUGGGUUUUUAAAGUGUGUCCUUUUGUUUCUCUUCCAUUCAGAGUGCGAAAUGGACUGAGUGGUCCUAAUGUCUACCUUCCCCAUUUUACAGAUGAGGAGCGAGGAGUUAAAGAAAUGUCGUGACUACUAUAGCUCAAAGUCCCCAACCUGACAAAAACCAGGUUCCCAGGCCUCUGGUCCUUUUAUAUCCAACAGUCAACUCCUGCAUUUGAAGGAAGGACCUUUGUGGUGGGAUUCAGGGUCCAGGGCUGGAGUUCCCAGAAGAGUUUUACUAGAGUGUGGAGAUAAAGAAACUGAGGCCCAGACAGAUAUACAGCUUGUCCAUGCUCACCCAGCUCUUGAGUGGC
ensembl:lncRNA